ensembl:lncRNA
GAUAUAAUAUUCGGGGCUGGAUCUGGAGGAGCUCGAGGAGGCGGCAACUAUCGUGGCCGAGGAAGAGGAGGAGGAGGAAGAAGAAGAUGGAGCAGCCUCCGACUGCGAUCCGAUAUCCCACAGCAGCAGCAGCAGUGGUGACUCGUCUGGCGAGAGCGAGGAAUCAGAGGCUGAAGGGCAAAGCUGCACCGAAUCCAAGGAGGGAGGGGGCGGAGCAGAAGGAGGGGGGACGUCUAAGGACAACCCUCCGCAGCCCCCACCCGCCCUGGCUGCAUCCCCCGUCCCCCGGGCGCCCGCGAGCACCCUCCCCUCUGCCUCACAGGGCUCCCGCCUGCUGAUCCAGGAGCUGGGGGAGCAGAUGCAGGAGGAGCUGAGGAUCUCCAGCCGCCACGGAGCAGAGAGAACGUCGGGGAGCGUCGGCGGCACUUUGUUGGAGCCGAGCAGAAACCCGCUGCUCAUCGUGGCAACGCGGGAGGAGAGCGACGUGGUCCUCUGAGAGGCGCCGCGGUGGAUCCGCAAAGACCGCCGACUGUUGACUCUGUGUAUCUUGAUCUAAAGGACCUCAUUGUCUAUAAAGAAGGAUACUAUGAAUGUUCUCAACCGCUUACUUCAUUUUGUUGUGGUUGCCGUCUUCUGCCUCAUGUGUUAUCUGACUUUCGUGCUACUGGGAGAGACGUCCUCUGCAAAUAUAUUUUUCCCUCACUGAACAUGCUUGAGUUUUUUACUUAUUGAAAGUAAUUCCAGUAGUUUGAACUAGACCCGCUGACUUCUCUCCUGUAUCGCCGUGGUAACAAACUGCAUGAUAAAUGCAUGUUGGGCUCGACCGAACCGAACAGGAGGGUUGUUCCGAGCGCAGCGAUUGACAGACGAGGUGCUUUCAGAGUUACUUUCAUGGCGCUUUCUUUUCCCAACGAAUAAAGGCUGUAAGCGCUCUCCCAGAGCCUGGCUUCAUGGGGGAAGUAAGGGAGACGGGGGAGAUUGAUUCCUGGGGCCCGGACGUCUGAGCGCUGUCGACUCGGCGAGAGAAACAAACAUGGAGUCACAUGUCAGGCAGAUGGAUGAGGCCUCUGAGCCAGUUCGUUUUUGAGCAAUAAGAGACCCCCCCCCCCCCCCGAGGACAGCCGAAACAUGACAUGUGACACCCAUACAUUGGCUGCACCGAUAUCCACCCACCCUGCGGUACAAUAAUAAAGAGUUUAAUGUGUGUCCCCAGAUUGGCCUCGGGUUCAUUAAUUGAGAAAUGGAUUUGUUGCCGCUGGCUUUUUACAUUGUAACUUGUGUUACUGAGGUCGACGGCGUUGCUACGACACCUCCUGAGAGACGACCUCCCUGCAGCGACCCCUUUGGGAGCGCUUGUCUGGAGGCUGCACUGCUCCCCCAGGUGGCGCUCUCCUGCUCCCCCGCUGGGGUUUCACAUUCAUUAAGUGACUCCGAGCUCGCCUGCCGUUUGUCAUUUUAAAGUGGCCGCCACCCCCCCCACAUUAGCGCAGUUGUCUGGGAGCCUGACCGGGGAUCCGCGGCCCAGCGCCACUUCGCUCGGUUCCUCUGCAAUUAAUGCUCCUCGCCGACGGACAUUUUUCAAGAGACGAGCCCGCUGCUCUUAAUGAAUGUAGCUGAUAAAUUAUACAAGGGCGGUAAUAAAUGUGAUGUCUAUGCUCUGUUUUCACUUGGAUUUGAUAAAUCAGCCCUUUACUGGUGUAGUGAAAGUGCACUUUGACCCUCAAGGGUCUAAGAAAGUGGAGUAAUGUGUUGAGGACUCAUGUGGGCCACUGGGAUAAUUAUCCCAUUAGCAACAGCACCUGCCAUAUAAGGGCAGGCUGCGUAUAUAUAUAUAUAUAUACAUUACAGGUCAUUUAGCUGACGCUUUUAUCCAAAGCAACUUACAUUACAUUUUCAUCCCAUGUUUUUUUUUUCAUUUUUGCCCCGGGAGCACUUAGGGGUCAGGUGUCUUGCUCAGGGACUCUUCAACCUGGGGCAGCCGGGGCUCAAACCACCGUCUCUACCCGUUCGCCACAACGACCAGGGAGCACAAGUUCGAGGGUGAGCCGAGUAGAGGAGGGGCAAGGUUCUUGGCCAUGUCAACUCUCCCAAUCACCUGACCUAAACCCAGUAGAACACCUCAUGGAACCACCAUCACAUAGAAACACCAUCAGAUAGAAACACCAUCACAUAGAACCACCAUCAGAUAGAACCACCAUCCACAGAAGCCUGUGGGGAGGGACAGCACAGAGACUUUAGGAGAGGGUAAUGUUGGUUUAUGAGUACAGUAAUAUGAUUAAUAUCUAAAAUAAUAAUGAUGUUGAUGAUGGCAGCAGCAGGCGUCAGCAGGGCCACGGCAGAUGUUAGGACCAGGGUCCAGAAGGAACCACGAUCUACGGGGACCUGCUAGGGGAGAAAGCACAAAAAAAACUCCCGGAAAGAAGCUGAAUUAGUCAUGUCCAUUAAUAAAACGUGGAUUAUGGUAGAAGGAGAGCGUGAGAGAGGAGCUCGGUGUGUCCUAAGAAGUCUAAGCCUAUAGCAGCUUAACUAAGGGCUGGUCCGGGCUGACCUGAGCCAGCCCUAACUACAGGCACAAUCAAAGAGGAACGUUCUGACCGAGAGGAAAGGGCGGCGACGCGCUGCCUCCGGUUGAUUGUAAUAGAAAACUCAAUCUCCUCUGCUGAGAGCCAAAGUGAUUCUGGUACUUGAAAAGAUUAAUAGCCCUCAAGCAGAAAUGAAUCAGGUGACCCCCUCCCGACCCCCAAUGGGCGUGCAGAUAGGAAUCCCGUGCUUCCCUCUUUCCCUCCACGUGGCCUUUUGUCGUGUCGCUCGGCCGGCGGAGAGACGCGGAGCUCCGGCGCUCCAGAAGACAGAAAGAGAAGAAAGGGAAGCAGGUGGCUGCUGCUGCUCGCCUCGUCCUUCUGGCUUUUGUCGUCCGCCGCCUCGUGAGUGACCGCCGCCUGUUAACGGGGGAAUGAGAGCAUGGGACGUUCCAGUGUCUCUGACGGUGGACGGAUUAUCUAAAUUGGCUAUUUUCAUGCUCUUAACCACAAAAGGAACAUGGAAAUACCCCCAGUUCCGCAUAGUGUGGAAGUGUGCGCGUGUGUUGACAGUGGCGGCAUCCACUUGACGUCAGUAGAUUCACUCUAAUUGGUGUGAGCAAUGUCCGUUAAAUCACUCGCUAACUCUCGGUGGACAUGUGCUAUCAGGCGGCUUAAUGCUGCAAAUUGCCUCUGCCGUGUCUGUGUGUGUCUGUGUGUGUGUGUGUGUGUGUGUGUGUGUUCUACCACCUUGUUAAGUGCGUUGGAUGUCGCUGGAUGUCAAAGUGGAGGAGAGUUACGCGGAUGAGCAGCAACACACGGAGGUUCUUCCAUUCUUUAAACUUCAUGUGUUCUGCUCAGCGGGCGCCGUCACGGAGCUGCAGCUCCUCAACAUCUCGCACAGGUAAACUCUUCUAAUGGGGCUGUUUGCACCGACUGCGCCGCCGCCGCAAGCCCGAUAUCCCAGUAUUCACUCUGCAGUUGUUCCUCAUCUGAGCCAGUGUGUGGUUUUGUUUGCAGCUAAAACAGCUGUCAAACGUGGUCAGUGUUUCAGCGAGAGAACGGGGCUGAGGGAGUUGGGAACAACCAAGCGACGGCCGCGCGGUGUAGUUUGCCUCCGUCCGGCUUCUUCGCGAAGUUGAGUCCUUUCGUGACUUCCGAAAGCGAAAGCGAGGUUGGGAAAUCCAAACAAAGCUCAGGGAAGCUCGGCUGGUCGAUGUCAACAAGAUGCAAAUCGUCUGCCUCUCAGAGGAAGAAGUGAUGUCGGGGUUCGCUCGGCCUCGGGUUUCGCGGGACGGUUCCCCCCCCUCCCCCGGCGAGGCUGAGCGUCGGACUAAUGAGGCCUCCCGGAUGUUGCCUUGUUCCAACCAGGCGGUGAACAAAGCUUCCCCCGACGCCGCCGACACAGAGAUGAGAAGCUCCCGGGAGUCGACACAGACGCACACUCCCUCCUCUUUUAUUAAAUCUGCUUCUGUUGACGUGUCCGAAAGCAAGCAAACAAACCCGUGGACUUUCCACCCUCACCGUCCUCCUCCUCUCUUCCCCCCCUUCGUCUGCCGCACUUUCUUUAACCUGCUCUUUCUAUUUCACGCUCUGUCACCCCCCCGAAUCCCACCCCACACUCUCACUUCUGGCCUUCUCUCUUAUCUCCACCCGACUACUCCGCCGGAUGUCUUUCACGUGGCGUCAGCCGAGCCGUGCACAUCCCACCACUUUUCAACCGCUACACACAUCGCACAUCGCACACGUUGGCCUCCCAGCCCACCACACCUCCUCCCCCCGGGGUGAGUUACAUGAAAGCAGAUACCCUCACAUGCGUCUCCAAGCCGAUCCUGUCAGCAUGUCACGGAUCGGCCACCCGCCGAGUUUCAAUCGCUGCUCUCUGGCGCGGAGACGUGUAGAUUACAUCAGCGCCGUGACUUCCAGCCGACACGCGGCAUCGACGGGGCGGGUGAAACGUGGGAGCUUACGGGGAAGAAAAGAGGAAAGUCUGUUAGAAAAGGUCCGUCUGAACUUUCUAGUUGGAAAGUCUCAUCAAAGAAGCAGAUUUGGGGAAAAGCUGAAAGCGACUAAAGCGUUGGUACAUUUAACGCAGACUGUAAGGCCUCGCCCCCCCCGACGUCCAUGACCACGUGACUUGCAGAUCAGUGGAUUUCUCUGACAUCGGAGCAAUGGAAUACGCAUGUUGCAUAAGUUGUUGCGGCGUGGAGCAGUGGGAACAGGGUCAGAUCAGAUAAGAUAAGGUGGAAUAAAUGUAUCUGCAGCAGCGAGGACUCUGCACUCUGUAGGAGGGAGGAAGCCGUCAGAUCACCACUUGCAGGACUGUUGGUGGAUUUGUUUACUUGCAACGCUGUUGACCUGUGAACCCUGGUUGAGUGGCUACUUCAUCGGACCUUGAGUCCAAACGACUUGGGAGAACUUUGCUCUCUGAAGCCGUGCUGGUUGUUUGCAUUGGUGCUUUGAAGCAAGGAGAAAUGUUUCUUCAGGAAUGUUCUCAGUAUGUGAAUACAGCUUAUUCUGCCAACCUUGUAUCACUGUUUUAUGCUGCAAACAUGUUGGUAAGAAUAGCGACUGUUCUGGGAUCCGGCUCCACGCUGGUGCCUUUGGUUAUCAUGGAGAUCAGGAGCAGACCAGUGCAGUGUCCAUUACCCUCAGAAAGCGCAGCCGACAGCUUGCUCUGGAACCAUAUUGCGCGUUGACUCGAGGGAAGCGGAGUUACCUGAAUAUGACCAGCAGCGAUAGUGAAUGCUGUAAGAAGCCCUGAGGCCCCGCCCCCUGCUUCUGCUCCCAGCGCCGCGUUUAAAGUUUAUUAUUGUUGAACGCGUCCUAAUUGCACCAGCUUUGAGCUCCUCGGGGGGCAUCUGCACACCAGCCAACUGGGAAGUGCACCGGCUGAACGAUUAAAGAGGUAUGUGAAGGACACACAUGCACACACGCAGACACGCAGACAUGCACACAUGCACACAUGCACACAUGCACACAUGCACACAUGCACACAUGCACACAUGCACACAUGCACACAUGCAGACAUGCAGAGAUUCCUUGGUUCAUAGUGAGCAGACAGUUUGCUUGACAUUUAACUAGAGACUCACGCUGCCUCCUGGGUCGUGUUGCAGACGUUCCCACUCAAAAGAUCUUGGAGGAACAGUGUGUUGGAUUUGGGGGAUUUAUUGGCAGAAAGGGGAUAUAACAUUAACAACGAUUCAUUAGUGAACCUGAAACUAAGAAUCACUGUUCUCAUCUGCUUAGAUGAGCAGUUAUCUACAUAUGGAGCUCAAGGUACUAAAUCCGCCAUGUUUCUACAGCAACCCAGAAGGACCAAGCACCGGCUCUAAAUAGUCCCUUUGAGACGUCUUCCUUACCCGAAGGUCCACGUGGUUCUCCCACAUGCUUGGAAAGACAAGAGUUUAAGUUUAAUAGGUUGGAUGCAAUUUGGGGAGAAAGUCUGGCCUGAAGGUGCAUGUUCCUCUUAAAGAUGUCCAAGCCCUGAGUGUGUAGCCCUAACAUGGACUGCGUGCGUCUCUGCGGUUGAGUCAGCGGCCUUCACACAUCGGGAUGCUGGCAUCACUGGCCGAUGUACUCGUGUGCUUUCACAUUCCUCCCUCGGCCCGGCGGUAAAGUCAGGACAGGCACGACGUUUUCCAAGUGUAGAAAAAUAUGAGAUAAUGUGUCAUUUCGCCUUAAGGGGUCAAGAGGGAUUUGCUAAACAAAGGCUCAUUAUUCAGAACAAACUGCUGCUCUCGUUUAGUAAACCCAGUGGAAUAAAGCUGCAGAAGUAAAGCAGUGAGCUGCCAGAAGAGAAAAAAAACAUUCGAUGGCAAAUGAUUCCAUGUCCUCACAUGCUGAGUAGCUUUAAAUAAAGGUACAUACAUUAGUAUCCGUUGUUGUUUCCACAGCAAAAGGAAAAAAACAUUUUCAAAGCACUUUCAUCCAAAGGAAGUAAAGCGAUGGAUUAUUAUGGAUCC